UUCAAUAUAAAUGGUUUCCGUUUCGAAAAUGUUCUUCAUUAGCUAAUUGAAUUGUAUGUGUAACCACAUUUCCGAAUUUUUAGUGUAGCAAUUCUAAUUAUUUAUUAACAUUGGAAUUGUUAGCAUUGGAUAUUGAUAAACACCAGCGGAUUCUCCUGUUCUCGUUCGUUUCUGAAUGUCGGUCUGGGCCCGCGAUUUGGAUGCAGCUGAGUCAGCUCGAGUUUUGAAUUCAUUUUCCGACUGGCUGCACACACAAAGCGACAGAACCACCCACCGCCCACUCCACCCGAAAAUCCAUGCCCCCCAACCACCCACUUUCCAGCGAAUGCAUUCGAUGUUCGUAAACCUUUUUGUGGCCGCAACUUUUACGAGCCAUUCGAAUGCAGCGGUCCAGACUGGAGACCCCUCGCAUUCGAAUAUGUGCAAUUAUUUCAGUGAAUUUACUGGUAAUUGGAUGAAGCGUUGACGGGACCAGCGGAGUGAUCUGGAGCACGAUAAAUGAACAAAAGCUCCGUCGAGCAGCUGAUAAUUAAUGCGAAAGUUUCUCCCGGCGUGCCUGGAUCUAGAUAUAGAAUCGAGUAUCUUUCGAUCAUUAUAGAUGUUCCCUGCUAAUUCCCGGCUCGUUUUGUCCUAAUAUCAAUUACCAGGACGGGAGCCAGUCAUAACCAGGAUCCCGUCGCGUGAAGGCCGUAAAAAGAGGGAGAGAAGCCUACAAACUGGAGGGCAGCAGUGCACAAAGGACAUCGGGAGCCGCCGCCGAGAUGGAGCAGUGGCAAGUGGUGGAGAAAAGCCAUUAAUGGCCCAAGAGGCGCCUCACUUCUGGGCCAAUCAUGUGUGGCUAAGUCCUAGGUGACACCAGCAGCUAAUAGAACAAUGCGAAGCCUCUGAUGGACUGGAGACGGGGAUUUACAGGGAUGGAGGCAAACUCGAGGCCCGAAUGCCACAUGGCCAUGCUCCGGGCAUUUCUCGUUUUGUCCGGACUCAAUUGAGCCCGAAUCAAUCAGCCAUCAACCUUGAGCUAACGAUGAGCUGGUGAACAUGCGUCGCCCUUUCGGCACUCGGAGCUCGACAUCAAUUAGGAAAUGCAAUUUCAGGUUUCGAUGACUGUUCGGGUGUGUGUGCGGGCCAAGGAUUUCGGUGGUCCUCGCUGGACCCUGAACUGGCAAUAAAUUUAAACAAAACCAAUUUUGUGUCGCAAAAAGUUUGUCACCCAACAGAAGGGAACUUUGAACAGGACUAUGAAUUAUUGAGUCGAUUGCAGGACACACAAAAAUAAAUAAAAUGUACAAAGGACAAAUGAAAAAUUCCGUUCCCGAAAAUGGAAAUUGUUGGAUAUUACGAAAUA